rnacentral:rRNA from 1 species
AUGAACGCUUGCGGCGUGCUUAACACAUUCAAGUCGAACGAAGCACUUUAUUUGAUUUCCUUCGGGACUGAUUAUUUUGUGACUGAGUGGCGGACGGGUGAGUAACGCGUGGGUAACCUGCCUUGUACAGGGGGAUAACAGUUGGAAACGGCUGCUAAUACCGCAUAAGCGCACAGCAUCGCAUGAUGCAGUGUGAAAAACUCCGGUGGUAUAAGAUGGACCCGCGUUGGAUUAGCUAGUUGGUGAGGUAACGGCCCACCAAGGCGACGAUCCAUAGCCGACCUGAGAGGGUGACCGGCCACAUUGGGACUGAGACACGGCCCAAACUCCUACGGGAGGCAGCAGUGGGGAAUAUUGCACAAUGGGCGAAAGCCUGAUGCAGCGACGCCGCGUGAGCGAAGAAGUAUUUCGGUAUGUAAAGCUCUAUCAGCAGGGAAGAUAAUGACGGUACCUGACUAAGAAGCACCGGCUAAAUACGUG